rnacentral:snRNA from 1 species
AUGCUCGCUUUGGCAGCACAUAUACUAAAAUCGGAAGGAUACAGAGAAGAUCCACUGGCCACUGUGCAAGGAUGACACAUAAAUUCGUGAAGUGCUCCAUAUUAAA